UACGUAGGGUGCGAGCGUUGUCCGGAAUUACUGGGCGUAAAGCGCGCGCAGGCGGUCUUCCAAGUCAGUGGUGAAAGCCCGGAGCUCAACUCCGGAACUGCCAUUGAAACUGUUGGACUUGAGUAUGAGAGAGGUGAGUGGAAUUCCCCAGUGUAGAGGUGAAAUUCGUAGAUAUUCGCAAGAACACCUGUGGCGAAAGCGGCUUACUGGACCACAACUGACGCUGAGGCGCGAAGCUAGGGGAGCAAACAGG
rnacentral:rRNA from 1 species